CUAAGGAAGAUUUCUCAAGGGGUGUGGGUUGACAUGCUUCCUGGGGUGAUGCGUAAGCAAUCAAUAAUGACAUUCAUUUGUCGAAGAGUUUUCCUUUUACCAAAGGAUUGCAUUUGCAUUUCCCAGUUUAUCCUCCCCGUAGUGCCAUGAAGUGUGUACAAUCGUCCCCAUUUUACGAGGAGACUGAGGCUUGGAGAAGAGGAUCUUUUGACUUUGCUAAUUUCUGGGUAUCAUGUGGAGCCUUCCAUGAAAGAGUCAAAUAUUUGGGAAGCCAGACAUCAAAGGGAGGAAAUGCAGAUGGAUUUUUCUCCCAGAACAUCCCUGGGAAUCAUUUCUGUCAGACGCUUCACUGGAUGUCCCUUGGUCUUUACAUUCAUUUAUCCUUCCACAACCCCCACCUCGAAUUGCAAUUUGCUGUUUUAAUUAUAGUUUCUUUUGCCACACUUGGGUUUUUUUUUUUUUUUUUCCCUCUUCUCAGUCUUCUACCUCCCUUAGAUUUUAAUCCCUUCUUCCAGUGCAGAAAAUUCAUUAAGAUUUCUAGAUUUCCUCCAAAUUUGCUUCCUUGGUGUUGAAUAAUUCUUAGUCUACGCGUGAUGCUGACUGUUGGGAUGCUGAGUUAAGGGGCUGAGCAGUGGGGCCAGUAGGUCUUGUUCAAGUGUACACUGAAUUCCCACUCUGGAAUUGGG